rnacentral:rRNA from 1 species
UGAACGCUGGCGGCGUGCCUAAUACAUGCACGUCGAGCGAACAGACGAGGAGCUUGCUCCUCUGACGUUAGCGGCGGACGGGUGAGUAACACGUGGAUAACCUACCUAUAAGACUGGGAUAACUUCGGGAAACCGGAGCUAAUACCGGAUAAUAUAUUUAACCGCAUGGUUCAAUAGUGAAAGACGGUUUUGCUGUCACUUAUAGAUGGAUCCGCGCCGCAUUAGCUAGUUGGUAAGGUAACGGCUUACCAAGGCGACGAUGCGUAGCCGACCUGAGAGGGUGAUCGGCCACACUGGAACUGAGACACGGUCCAGACUCCUACGGGAGGCAGCAGUAGGGAAUCUUCCGCAAUGGGCGAAAGCUUGACGGAGCAACGCCGCGUGAGUGAUGAAGGUCUUCGGAUCGUAAAACUCUGUUAUUAGGGAAGAACAAAUGUGUAAGUAACUAUGCACGUCUUGACGGUACCUAAUCAGAAAGCCACGGCUAACUACGUG